GAUGAACGCUCGCGGGAGGCCUAACACAUGCAAGCCGAGCGGUAGAGAUCUUUCGGGAUCUUGAGAGCGGCGUACGGGUGCGGAACACGUGUGCAACCUGCCUUUAUCAGGGGGAUAGCCUUUCGAAAGGAAGAUUAAUACCCCAUAAUAUAUUGAAUGGCAUCAUUUGAUAUUGAAAACUCCGGUGGAUAGAGAUGGGCACGCGCAAGAUUAGAUAGUUGGUAGGGUAACGGCCUACCAAGUCAGUGAUCUUUAGGGGGCCUGAGAGGGUGAUCCCCCACACUGGUACUGAGACACGGACCAGACUCCUACGGGAGGCAGCAGUGAGGAAUAUUGGACAAUGGGUGAGAGCCUGAUCCAGCCAUCCCGCGUGAAGGACGACGGCCCUAUGGGUUGUAAACUUCUUUUGUAUAGGGAUAAACCUUUCCACGUGUGGAAAGCUGAAGGUACUAUACGAAUAAGCACCGGCUAACUCCGUG
rnacentral:rRNA from 1 species